AAUUGAGGUAGAGGUUGCGAUUUUUAUUAAGCUUGUGGAGUGAGAGGACACAAAGAAGCAAGUCUAGGAAAAAUCGCCGAAAUAGAUAAUAGCCUCCCUAUUGUCUAUUGGGACAUAAGUGAAUAGCUUAUGGACUGUCUUAGUAGAGAUGCUAAGUUGCGCUAUAUAUUUG
rnacentral:ncRNA from 2 species